AACAAUAGAAGUAAGCCAAGGCUUAGAGCAAAGGAGUGCGGUGUUGCAGCGGAGGUAAGAACGGCGUCAGAACACCUCGGAGGGAUACGGCGCAGCAAUCCUCUCCCUCUGGCCGGAACAUCACAAUGACCGGCGGCCGCCUGACCCUCGCCAUGACUCUCUCUCAUAUGCUGGUGAUUGCGCUGUGUGUAACCCACGUAUCGCUGGCGCAGCGCCUAAGAAGAUAUAGACACGUCAGCCGCCCGUGGGUGGUGUCACCGAGCCGUGGCGAGGCAUGGCCCCGGCCCAUGAAGCAGACUACGGGGCCUGAUCUGCUCUUGCUGAACCCAAGCACGUUCACCUUCGUGUUCGUCGGGCCCCCUGGAGGCUGCGACGUCGUCGACCGGGCGCUAAAGCGAUACCGUAACCAGCUGAUCUUCAGCGGUUGCUUGGGGCCCAGAGGAGAGACUGCCAGCCAGAGCAGGGUACCUCCCCUUGGCCCUGUCAAGGGCCUGCCCGUAGCCGGCAUAAACUCGCUGCUUGUCCUACUGGGUGGGCCGUGCGAGCACAUACCGCAUCACGACAUGGACGAAGCAUACACUCUGGAGCUGACGGUAAACUCACAGCCUUCACUUAGGGCCAGUUCCGUUUGGGGUCUGCUGAGGGGUCUGGAGACGUUCAGCCAGGUCGUGUACCCCUACGACGGCUUUCAGUUCGCUGUCAAUGAGACUGUCAUCCACGACGCCCCAAGGUUCCAGCACCGCGGUCUUCUCAUCGACACUUCCAGGCACUUCCUCCCGCUCAAGAAGAUUGUCGAGACAUUGGACGCUAUGGCUUACAACAAAAUGAACGUCCUCCACUGGCACAUGACCGACGACCAGUCUUUUCCUUUUGUCAGCAGAACGUUUCCAACUCUCAGUGAAAAAGGUGCUUACGAUCCUGAAACGCACGUGUACAGGCCCACUGACGUACAGUACGUGAUUGGCGAGGCCGCAGCCAGAGGCAUCCGGGUCAUGGUAGAAUUCGAUACUCCCGGCCACACGUUGUCGUGGGGCCAGGCGUACCCCGAGCUGCUGACCACAUGCUACAAAGGCGACGCGCCGAAUGGCGAGCUGGGCCCUGUGGACCCGACGCGCAACGAGACCUACGUUUUCAUGGCGCACUUCUUCGCCGAGGUGGCGCGCGUCUUUCCUGACCGGUACCUCCACCUGGGGGGAGACGAGGUCAACUUCGAUUGCUGGCAGUCUAACCCGAACAUCACGAGCUUUAUGCGAAGAAUGGGAUUUCCAUCGCGCUUCGACAAAUUGGAGGAGCACUACAUUCAGAGAUUGCUAGAAAUUAUUCAGAACCUGCGCAAGAGCUACGUGGUUUGGCAGGAGGUGUUCGACAACAAGGUGAAGAUUGCUCCGGACACGGUGGUGCACGUGUGGAAGCCGCCACAGAAUGAGGAGCUGUCCUCGGUAACGUCUGCGGGCUACAGGGCACUACUGUCAGCUUGCUGGUACCUGGACUACAUAUCCUACGGUGCUGACUGGAAGAAGUACUACGUCUGCGACCCGCACCACUUCUCAGGCCCCGCGCUUCGGCGGCAGCCGAACGGCUGUGGAGUCCAGCUUCGGUGAAUAGCGUGGAAGAAGCGGCCCCCAGGUUGGAAGAGCAUCGUUGCAGGAUGAGGAGGCGCGGACUGAUGGUUGAACCUCAGAAUGGUCCUGGGUUCUGCG
rnacentral:misc_RNA from 1 species